rnacentral:rRNA from 1 species
GAUGAACGCUGGCGGCGUGCCUAAUACAUGCAAGUCGAGCGAAGCGGGGACGGGUGCGUAACACGUGGGUAACCUCCUAUCAGUCUGUGUUAGCUUCGGGAAACCGGAGCUAAACCGGCUACUUAUGGAUGGCUCUUGGCUGCAUUCGCUAUUUGGUAAGGUAACGGCUGACCAAGGCACCGAUGCAUAGCCGACCUGAGAGGGUGAUCGGCCACACUGGAACUGAGACACGGUUCAGACCCCUACGGGAGGCAGCAGUGGGGAAUCUUCCGCAAUGGGCGAAAGCCUGACGGAGCAACGCCGCGGGAGUGAGGAAGGUCUUCGGAUCGUAAAACUCUGUUAUUAGGGAAGCGGUACCUAACCAGAAAGCCACGGCUAACUACGUGCCAGCAGCCGCGGUAAUAC